rnacentral:lncRNA from 1 species
ACAUUCAGGCAGGCGCCAAGAAGGUGCUCAUCACAGCCCCUGGCAAGGGCGAUAUCCCUACCUACGUCGUCGGAGUUAAUGCUGAUGCCUACAAUCCUGAUGAGCCUAUCAUCAGCAAUGCUUCUUGCACUACCAACUGUCUUGCUCCCUUUGUCAAGGUCCUCGACCAGAAGUUUGGUAAUCAAAUGUCUCUCUUCUUCUAUCCCUUUUCUUUAAGAAUGAGCCCCUGAGAAAAUAUGAAUGAACCAAUGAAAAUUGAAUGACAACUUGCGGGCUGGUUUCAGGCAUCAUCAAGGGAACCAUGACUACAACUCACUCAUACACCGGUGACCAGAGGCUACUGGACGCCAGCCACCGUGACCUCAGACGGGCACGAGCUGCAGCUCUAAACAUUGUUCCAACUUCAACUGGUGCAGCAAAGGCAGUUGCCCUUGUCCUUCCAACUCUGAAAGGCAAACUGAACGGCAUCGCUCUGCGUGUACCGACACCAAACGUCUCGGUUGUGGACCUGGUGGUGCAGGUAUCAAAAAAGACAUUUGCAGAAGAGGUAAACGCUGCAUUCAGAGAAAGUGCUGAGAAGGAGCUGAAGGGUAUCCUGUCAGUGUGUGACGAGCCUCUUGUUUCCGUCGACUUCAGGUGCUCAGACGUAUCAUCA